AAGUUAUUUCGCUAAGGCAAGUAGUGGAUGCCUUGGCAGAACGUGCCGAAGAAGGACGUACUAGGCCACGAAAGGCGUCGGGGAGUUGCCAAGAAACUGUGAUCCGGCGGUGUCCGAAUGGGGAAACCCCCGCCUGUGAAAGCAGGCGGACUCGUGCAUAGCACGAGGAAUUUCUAAUUGCUCUAAUUUCUAAUUUCUAAUCAACAACAGGCAAGAAUUUUAAAUUGUGUUUGGGUGUUGAUUAGGUCAAUUAGGUUAAUUAGUCAUUAAGGAAUUUCCCGUGCUGUGCACGGGGGGGUACCCGGGGAACUGAAAUAUCUUAGUACCCGGAGGAAAAGAAAACGAAUGAGAUUCCCUUAGUAAGCGACGAGCGAAAAGGGAACAGCCUAAACCCCUCACUCUUUGUGUUCGAUAUACUAUUAAGCAUGUUUUACUUAUAUGUGCUCUUUUCUUCUUUAGGUAAGAAAUUUUAUAUCGGUAGCACAUCCGAUCUGAGAAAGAGAUACACCUCUCACCUUAAAGGAGAAAACUUUGCCACCAAAAACUUGAAAGAUUGGAAAUUGGUGUAUUACGAAGCGCAUCUUUCUCGUAAGCAAGCGUUUCACCGAGAGCAAAGUUUGAAGAAAAGAGCUCAGGCGUGGCGUGCAUUAAAGAAGCGUAUCAUCGAAGAUAAAGAGUGAGGGGGGUUACAGGACCCUAAUGUGGGAUAGUGAAGGAUAGGAUAACCAGCUGGAAAGCUGGGCCAUAGACGGUGACAGCCCCGUGUCCGAAAUCCAACAUUGCCCUAGGGGUAUCCUAAGUACUCUCGGAGACGGCAAACUCCGUUAGGAAGUUGGGGUGACCACACUCCAAGGCUAAAUACACGUUCUGACCGAUAGUGAACUAGUACCGUGAGGGAAAGGUGAAAAGAAGGGUGGAAGACCCAGUGAAAUAGUACCUGAAACUACUUGCUAACAAACAGUCAGAGCCACGCCACUUUGUUGUUGAAUUGACAUUUUGGAAGAUGAACAAAUCAUAUAAUUUGUUUGCCUUCGGAAUGUUUAUUCGACGAUAAAGUGGCGUGGUGAUGGCGUGCCUAUUGAAGAAUGAGCCGGCGAGUUAACGCCAUAUCCUUGUCUAAGGUACUUUGUACCGGAGGCGGAGUGAAAGCGAGCGUGAAUAGCGCGUUUUUGGAUAUAGCGUUAGACCCGAAACCAGGCGAGCUAACUAUGGCCAGGGUGAACCCCGAGGAAACUCGGGGAGAGGCCCGCACCGGUGUGCGUUGCAAGGCGCUCGGAUGAGCUGUGGUUAGAGGUAAUAUGCCAAUCGAGCCUGGAGAUAGCUGGUUCUCCCCGAAACAUAUCUUGGUAUGGGCUUGCGUUAAGCUUGAUGGGGGUAGAGCACUGGAUGGUCCCGAUGGGGAAACCCGUUGGGAUCAAUCAAACUCCGAAUACCGUCAAGUGUUCCGCAGGACUCAGUCUACCGGGGCUAAGCUCGGUGGGCAAAAGGGAAACAACCCAGACCCUCGUCUAAGGUCUCUAACUCUUUGCUUAGUGGGAAAGGAAGUCAUACUCCAAAAACACCCAGGAGGUCGGCUUAGAAGCAGCCAUCCUUGAAAGAAAGCGUAACAGCUCACUGGCCGAGGAAUAUGGCGCCGAAGAUUUACGAGGCUUGAAGCAAAGGACCGAAGACAGGGAUCUUGUCCGAAGGACAAGAAUGAUGAAUAAAUACCAAUGGCCAAUAAGUACCAAUAAAUACAAAUGAAUAAUCAACGGUUGAAUCAUUCAUCAUUGGUGCUCAUUGGUAGUAUUUGACAUUUGUCAUUCUCGCCCUUCGGGCGAGGUGGUAGGGGAGCAUCCCGAAGGCAGUGAAGGUGAGCUGUAAGGCUUGCUGGAGCGUUCGGGAGCGAGAAUGCCGGCAUAAGUAGCGAAAAGCUGGUGAGAAUCCAGCUCGCCGUAUACCCAAGGUUUCCGAAGCAACGUUCGUCAGCUUCGGGUUAGGCGGCCCUAAGGUGAGCCCCGCUCUUUCUGUAUCUCAUUGUGAAAGAGGUAUGAUGAUGUAGAGGAAGCUAUAAACUACGUCUAUAUACUUCUCCAUCGCGUAAACGGAAGACAUUACAUUGGUUUUAGCUCUGAUUUAAAGAGAAGGAUUAAAGAACACCAAGCGAAGAAUAAAUACUGGGAGUUGGUAUAUUACGAAGCUUAUCGAGAUGAAAAAGAAGCUAGUAUCAGGGAAAGUAAACUAAAACAAUAUGGAAGUAGUUGGAAACAGCUUCGAAAAAGAAUUAAAAAGAGUAUGCGAUUUGAUGAGAGAUGGAAAGAGCGGGGGUAGCCGAUGGAUAACGGGUUAAUAUUCCCGUUCUUGGAGUAGUGCGUUAUUGGUCUUGAUCCGGCUUUGCCGGACCGAGGCUAUCAGUUGGGGCAGGACGCAGUUUGCUAGCCUAAGCGUUUUAUUGAUUUAGCGUCUAAGCGAUUAGAUAGAUACGGUAGGAAAAUCCGCCGUGUCGUUUAACUCGAGUCGUGAAUGAGAUUCUGGUAGCAAUACCGGGAGAUUUGGGUGACGUAAGCUGCCAAGAAAAGUGUCGCAACGAGCAUUAUUUCAAGCCGUACCAACAACCGACACAGGUGGGUGAGUCGAGUAGACUAAGGCGAGCGGGGGAACCCCCCUUAAGGAAUUCGGCAAAUUAUCUGGGCGUAAGUUCGCAAGAUGCCCUUCCCGCCACAUUAGGGACAAGAGUGUUUACAUGAUUUAGGUCUUAAACCCUAAGGUUAGUGCCUAUCAGUAUUCAUUCGUGUCUCCAAUGUGGCGGGAGACACCAAAAGAUUGUAGAGGGACUGUUUAACAAAAACACAGGUCUGUGCAAACUCGAAAGAGGAAGUAUACGGGCUGAGGCCUGCCCAGUGCCGGAAGGUUAACUGAACGUGUGUCCGCCUUUGGUGGACGCAUGUGAUUGAAGCCCCGGUGAACGGCAGCAAUAACUAUAAUUGUUCUAAGGUAGCGAAGUUCCUAGUCGCUUAAUUAGCGACCUGCACGAAAGGCAUAACCACUCUACAACUGUCUUGAGAGGGGGCCCGGCGAAAUUGAAAUGGCUGUGAAGAUGCGGCCUACUGACAGCAGGACAAAAAGACCCCGUGGAGCUUUACUGCAACUUGGCAUUGAUAUUUCAGUUGGAAUCGUCGAGUAUAGGCGGGACCGCGCCACAUUUUUGCUAUUGAAGAAUAAUAAUUGAGUAUGAUUUGAGACUUUCAUCGCGAGUACUCAUUUCUUCGAUGGCAGCAAUGUGGCGUGGGUCAGUGGAAUACCGCUCGUUCUGGCUAAAAUGUCUCACCGACACUGUCUGGAAACGACAGUCGGGACCUUGUCUGGUGGGCAGUUUAACUGGGGAGGUUACUUGCUAAAGAGUAACGCAAGCGCGCAAUGGUACCCUAACUGCGUAAAGAAAUCGCAGUGAUAGUGUAAUAGCAUAAGGGUGCUUGACUGUGAGACUUACAAGUCGAGCAGGGGCGAAAGCCGGUUAUAGUGAUCCUCGUGUGCUUUGUGGAAGGCACCGGGCUUAUCGGAUAAAAGUUACCCCGGGGAUAACAGAGUAGUCGCACCUAAGCGUCCCUAGCGACGGUGCGGUUCGCUACCUCGAUGUCGGCUCAGCGCAUCCUGGGGGUGGAGAAGCUCCCAAGGGUCCGUCUGUUCGUCGGUUAAAGCGCUACGUGAGCUGGGUUCAGAACGUCGCGAGACAGUAGAAAAUAUUUUGAUUUAUAAAUCAAAAAGCCUUGCUGUCUCAGCUGCAGAAUAGAUGUUCUGGACGUGAUUAUGAGCGACUCUGUUAUAAAAAUGCAGCUUUCCGAUAAAAUGUCGGAGAAUAAAUCUGACUAAAUGCUGGAAACUCUGAGUAUCUUUUAGUACUAUGGUUUUAUGCCAAGUAAAAAUCUAAAAGUGCAGACAAUCAGCAGGAAAGGUUUGAUUAUCUUAAUAAACGCUUUGUUAUCAUUGUUGUUAAUAAUAAUGUUAUUAGGAAAAGUGGAGUGUGGAGGAGAUUGUGUAAUGGUAUCCAAAGAAUUGAAAUGUUAUCCGAUUAGAUGUUACAGAUUCCAGGUAAUUUUAAGAAACAUUUUUCAAAAAACCAGCUUCCCACUUACUCGAUAAUCAUUCAUCCUCAGAGACUAUACGUCAGAUCCCACCUAGUUUUAUGCGAAGUGGGGAAGAUAUAGUCCGAUCUCAUAGGUGACUAUGAGUCUCGAUAAAAUCACAUCGGGAGUAAAAACAGCUGUGAGUUCAAUUUUCAAUUUUUAAAAUGUAAUUUUGCAUUUUGAUUUUUGAACUUUGAAUUUUAAAUGUCGGCCUCUAUCCGCUGUCAGCGUGGGAAUCUUGAGGGGAGUCGAUCUCAGUACGAGAGGACCAGAUUGAGCCAAUCCCUAGUGCUCCUGUUGUUCCUAUCAAGGGCAUAGCAGGGUAGCUACAUUGGUGUCGGAUAACCGCUGAAAGCAUCUAAGCGGGAAGCCGCUCCCAAGAUAAGGAUUCCGUUCGUGCGGAGCACGAGAAGCUCAAAGUUUAAAACGCAAAAUUCAAAACUGCAACGCAAAUCUUACCUGAAUGCUUAAUAGAUUUUAGUUUUGAACUGUACUUUUGCGUUUUGAGAUUUACCAUUUGAGUUCCUCGCGCUCUGCGCGAUGAAGACCCCUUGGAGACUACAAGGUUGAUAGGCGGGCGGUGUAAGCCCUGUAAAGGGUUCAGCCUACCCGUACUAAUCGGUCGAAGAAUAACUUUG
rfam:Microgenomates group bacterium RIFCSPHIGHO2_01_FTLL_45_11 rifcsphigho2_01_scaffold_1075, whole genome shotgun sequence.